CGGGAAAACUGUUUCAUCAAUCUGUAUACUUCUAUGUUUCAGCUUAUUAUGCUCAUGUUGCUGGUCUCCGCUAUGGAUUAAGUCUUUCGAAAAAUGGUUUUGAGCUCUCUCUUGUUGGCUUUAAUCACAAAAUGAGUAUCUUGCUGGAAGCUAUCAUUCGAAAGAUAGCAAAAUUCCAAGUGAAACCUGAUAGGUUUUCUGUUAUCAAGGAAACAGUCACAAAGGCAUACAAAAAUUACAAAUUCCGACAACCGUAUGAACAAGCAAUGAGUUACUGCUCAAUGGUAUUACAAGAUAACU